rnacentral:rRNA from 1 species
UACGGAGGGUGCAAGCGUUAUCCGGAUUCACUGGGUUUAAAGGGUGCGUAGGUGGGCAAGUAAGUCAGUGGUGAAAUCUCCGGGCUUAACCCGGAAACUGCCAUUGAUACUAUUUGUCUUGAAUACUGUGGAGGUCAGCGGAAUAUGUCAUGUAGCGGUGAAAUGCUUAGAUAUGACAUAGAACACCAAUUGCGAAGGCAGCUUACUACAGGGAUAUUGACACUGAGGCACGAAAGCGUGGGGAUCAAACAGG